CCUACGGGUGGCAGCAGUGAGGAAUAUUGGUCAAUGGACGAGAGUCUGAACCAGCCAAGUAGCGUGAAGGAUGACUGCCCUAUGGGUUGUAAACUUCUGUUAUAAAGGAAUAAAACGAGGCACGUGUGCCUUUUUGCAUGUACUUUAUGAAUAAGGAUCGGCUAACUCCGUGCCAGCAGCCGCGGUAAGACGGAGGGUACGAGCGUUAUCCGGAUUUAUUGGGGUUAAAGGGAGCGUAGAUGGGUUGUUAAGUCAGUUGUGAACGUUUGGGGCUCAACCGUCAAAUUGCAAUUGAUACUGGCAGUCUAGAGUACAGUAGAGGUAAGCGGAAUUCGUGGUGUAGCGGUGAAAUGCUUAGAUAUCACGAAGAACCCCGAUUGCGAAGGCAGCUUACUAAACUGUGACUGACAUUGAUGCUCGAAAGUGUGGGUAUCAAACAGGAUUAGAUACCCGAGUAGUG
rnacentral:rRNA from 1 species